rnacentral:rRNA from 1 species
UACGUAGGGGCAAGCGUUGUCCGGAAUCAUUGGGCGUAAAGAGCGCGUAGGCGGCCCUGUAAGUCCGCUGUGAAAGUCAAGGGCUCAACCCUUGAAUGCCGGUGGAUACUGCAGGGCUAGAGUCCGGAAGAGGCGAGUGGAAUUCCUGGUGUAGCGGUGAAAUGCGCAGAUAUCAGGAGGAACACCGAUGGCGAAGGCAGCUCGCUGGGACGGUA